AUGGCCUUGAGCCAGGCAGGGGCGGGCUUGGCCAGCCCCUUCACCAGUUUCCGCGUCUUCGUCAGCAGAUCGCCUCGCAUGUACGACAUCUCGCCUCCACACCCGGUGGGCGGUGGCCGCCGCCGCCGCUGCAGCCGCAAGUGGGAGGAAAUGCCGGCGAGAUGGUGGCGGGAUCGUUUUCCUUCUCGCCUUCGUGGCUAG
rnacentral:rRNA from 1 species